rfam:Hordeum vulgare subsp. vulgare, WGS project CAJW01000000 data, contig: morex_contig_275515
UAUGUACUCCCCCCGUCCCAAUAUUUUUGUCUUAAUUUUUUUUAGAUACGAAUGUUUCUAGUCACAUUUUAGCAUUUAGAUACAUUCAUUUGUAAACAAACCUAAGACAAGAAUUUUGGGACGGAGGGAGUAUAUA